UGUACAAGAAGGACAUGACUGUGAAGAAGUUACUGGAAGAGAGAAGUUUCCAAAAGUUUUUAUGGGGAAGCAAAAUUGUUUGGAGUAGCAAUAUGCAAAAGACAUUGUUACAGAUGAUACGCAGGAAUUUCAUGGGGCUCUUCAGAUAAAGUAAUGAUGCAGGUCUAAGAGCAAAGGAUCACAUUUGGUGUAGUAAUGCGAUAUGUACAAAUAGAGGUAGUUAGCAACUCUAAAUUGUUGCCUUACGAGCCAAUUAAAAACUUCUCCAUUAACCGGGUGUAAAUAGCACAGUUAAAAGUAGCAUAGUAAUUUUUUCACUAUAACAUAUAUCUAUUAUGGGAAUCACUGGCUGAACAUGUUAUAGUUCUAUGUAUUGCCAGGUCCAUAGAUUUCACAGUAUCUUUAUUAGAGAAAUUAUGCAAGGAACCAUAUGGAAAUUUGAAAUAGGCUGUUAGAAUCUUAUCAGGUCACUCUGAAGUCAUGGAAGUUGAAUGGAUAUCAGCCACUGCAUACCAAGUAAGCACAAAAUAAAUGUCAAUUGAAAUUGGAAUUGCUUAGUUUUAGCGGCUUCCGCUGCAGUUUAUCUGCCCAACCAUAUGGAACGCAGAAAAUUAUUUAUUUGCAUACUAUUAUUUUGUUACAAGUGCUAGCCAGCAACAGUACACUCGAUAUAUAUCUAUGUAGAUGGUAAAGGACUAAAAGAGUUGUGGUUAUCGCUGUAAAAUUGUCUCCGACCAAAUUAAGUCACUAUUUCUAAUUCAAAUUCUUUGUCGUAUGGGCUGGUGGUCUUGGGCCGAGUAGCAGUUCGGUGUUGGAUCUGGUGUGGGUCGUGUCAUUGGAUUGUAUUUGGUGGUAGUAGUGGCGGCUUAAGUGGUCGCAUAAGGAAUUUCAUUUCUUUAUGUUUAGAAUUAGCAAAACCUGUGUACACAUAAAUUCAAUUCAUCCAUGUUAAUUUUGUGAGUCACCCUUUUCUUUUGCA